rnacentral:tRNA from 1 species
AGGAUCUAUGGCUUAGUGGAACACUGUCUCCUUUGUGUGCAGAAGGUCCCAGGUUCAAUCCUUGGCAAUCCUA